GAGGGUGGGGCCAGGAGGGGCGGAGAACGCCGGGCGGGGCUCCUCCUCCUCUCGCGAGACUGGAGACCGGCACUGCCGGCUCUGCAAUUUCAAAACCCUGCUGGCGGGGUUGGGGUGCCCCGCAGGCCAUCCGGAGCCGGUGGCCUGCGCCCUCCCGCGAGUGUGAAACAGGAGGGCGUGAGUGGGCCUCAAGCUCUGGCCCCCGCCGCGCGGGCUGGGAGCCGCUCUCCCGAGGGGCGGAGGGAGCCGAGCCGAGGGGACGCGGGGCCCACCCGAGGGUCAGGCCCCGUGAGGACCUGGCUGCGUGGGCAGGAGCGGAGGCUUCCGAAAUCCGGAAGGAGGGACGAGCGCCUGCGGGCGGAGAGACACACUCUGGGCUGGGCUUCCAGGUACUGGACGUCGCUUCCCCAGACGAGCCAGCCGCCUCACUGCUUCCCAAGGGCUGCGCUGCGAUCCCGCCCAGCAGCCCGCCAGCUCUGAGCGCUGACAGUACGUUGUUGUCGCUGUUAAACUCAGAGGCAAACAGACGGCUGUGUGAGAGCGGCUUGUGUCCUGGCCAGAGAAACUUCUCGGGUUGGUUAAUAUUAACUCAGGGACGCAGGCAGGACACCAGCUCCCUCGGGCAAAGUACCGGUACCGGCCAAAGGCCCUCCCUCCUCGCCCUCUCCCGGGGAGCGGAGGGGCCUGCCCUGGACGGUUCGCCCACGCGCCGCGCGCCACCGUGGAGUCAGCGCCUAUCCGCCUACCCGGAAGGCCUGUUACAAAGCCACAAUGAUUGAGGGGAGUAUUGGCAUUGUGAAGGCCAAGGUCGAAGGAUCUGAAAUGCCAAGAAGGAGAAAGCAAUCAACAAUUAUUGCUGGUACCUAAUAAAGAACACUCGGAGUGAAAGAGAUAUGAUAAAUUAUCAGCAAAAUGCCAUUAUUUUUCUUCUUAGGUCCUCAAUGUGUGAGAGCCAGCUAUAAAAAUCAGGCAUAAAUGAGAUGACUGUUCUCCAAGUUCCCUGGGUUUAAAAGAAGACUACAGAUUUAUUCCUUAUUAUUUAUCUUCAUAAACUAAGGAGCAAAGUAUUUUUUGUAUGAUGUAUAACAUUGAUGUUCAAUAAAAAUAAAACUGGUUGUCAUCUUCUAAACACAAAGCCACUGAAACAUGUAUGAUAGAUAUCUGCUUUAUAAUUGUGUGACAUUAAAGUCAUGGGAAUGA